rnacentral:antisense_RNA from 1 species
CUGCUGACAACGCUCUUGAGUCAUUGUUAAACAAAUUAAACCUCGACCGUGUGUUGCCAUAAAAUUAAUGGCAUCCGCUGAAAUAUGUUCAGCAGCAAUGAUUA